ACCUUUGUGGUGUAAUGGUCAGCACACUCGGCGCGUAAUCGAGAGAUUCGUGGUUCGAGUCCCGGAGAAGGCA
rfam:Stegodyphus mimosarum contig116990, whole genome shotgun sequence.